rnacentral:rRNA from 1 species
AGCCCCGCAAGGGGCAAGUAGAGUGGCAAACGGGUGAGUAACACGUGGGUGACCUGCCUUCGAGUGGGGGAUAACGUCCCGAAAGGGACGCUAAUACCGCAUAACAUCCUGCCUUUGAACAGGCGGAGAUCAAAGCUGGGGAUCGUAAGACCUGGCGCUUGAUGAGGGGCCCGCGUCCGAUUAGCUAGUUGGUGAGGUAAUGGCUCACCAAGGCAACGAUCGGUAGCCGGCCUGAGAGGGCGGACGGCCACACUGGGACUGAGACACGGCCCAGACUCCUACGGGAGGCAGUAGUGGGGAAUUGUUCGCAAUGGGCGCAAGCCUGACGACGCAACGCCGCGUGGAGGAUGAAGGUCUUCGGAUUGUAAACUCCUGUUGCUCGGGACGAAUGACUGCGACCUAACACGUCGUAGUGUGACGGUACCGGGUGAGGAAGCCCCGGCUAACUCUGUGCCAGCAGCCGCGGUAAUACAGAGGGGGCAAGCGUUGUUCGGAAUUACUGGGCGCAAAGGGCGCGUAGGCGGCCUGUUAAGUCGAACGUGAAAUCCCCGGGCUCAACCCGGGAACUGCGUCCGAUACUGGCAGGCUUGAAUCCGGGAGAGGGAUGCGGAAUUCCAGGUGUAGCGGUGAAAUGCGUAGAUAUCUGGAGGAACACCGGUGGCGAAGGCGGCAUCCUGGACCGGUAUUGACGCUGAGGCGCGAAAGCCAGGGGAGCAAACGGGAUUAGAUACCCCGGUAGUCCUGGCCCUAA